CCUACGGGGGGCAGCAGUGAGGAAUAUUGGUCAAUGGGCGGAAGCCUGAACCAGCCAAGUAGCGUGAAGGAAGAAGGCUUUCGGGUUGUAAACUUCUUUUAAGGGGGAAGAGCAGAAGACGGUACCCCUUGAAUAAGCCACGGCUAACUACGUGCCAGCAGCCGCGGUAAUACGUAGGUGGCAAGCGUUGUCCGGAUUUACUGGGUGUAAAGGGCGUGCAGCCGGAGAGACAAGUCAGAUGUGAAAUCCACGGGCUCAACCCGUGAACUGCAUUUGAAACUGUUUCCCUUGAGUGUCGGAGAGGUAAUCGGAAUUCCUUGUGUAGCGGUGAAAUGCGUAGAUAUAAGGAAGAACACCAGUGGCGAAGGCGGAUUACUGGACGAUAACUGACGGUGAGGCGCGAAAGCGUGGGGAGCAAACAGGAUUAGAUACCCGGGUAGUC
rnacentral:rRNA from 1 species